rnacentral:rRNA from 1 species
UACGUAGGUGACAAGCGUUGUCCGGAUUUACUGGGCGUAAAGCGCACGUAGGCGGUUCGUUAAGUCGGAUGUGAAAGCCCUAGGCUCAACCUAGGAAGUGCAUUCGAAACUGGCGAGCUUGAAUAUGGAAGAGGGUCGCGGAAUUCCCGGUGUAGAGGUGAAAUUCGUAGAUAUCGGGAGGAACACCGGUGGCGAAGGCGGCGACCUGGGUAGAUACUGACGCUGAGGUGGCGAAAGCGUGGGGAGCAAACAGG